rnacentral:rRNA from 1 species
GUGGGGAAUAUUGGACAAUGGGCGAAAGCCUGAUCCAGCAAUGCCGCGUGAGUGAUGAAGGCCUUAGGGUUAUAAAGCUCUUUUACCCGGGAUGAUAAUGACUGUACCGGGAGAAUAAGCUCCGGCUAACUCCGUGCCAGCAGCCGCGGUAAUACGGAGGGAGCUAGCGUUGUUCGGAAUUACUGGGCGUAAAGCGCACGUAGGCGGCUUUGUAAGUUAGAGGUGAAAGCCUGGAGCUUAACUACAGAACUGCCUUUAAGACUGCAUCGCUUGAAUCCAGGAGAGGUGAGUGGAAUUCCGAGUGUAGAGGUGAAAUUCGUAGAUAUUCGGAAGAACACCAGUGGCGAAGGCGGCUCACUGGACUGGUAUUGACGCUGAGGUGCGAAAGCGUGGGGAGCAAACAGGAUUAGAAACCCUAGUAGUCC